CCAGGCAAUUCAUUUCAGUGAAAAUGAAACUCAGAGCACCACUCUCUCUCUCUCCCUGUUUCUCUAGCUCACUCUCUGUCAGUGUGUGAGUGCAGGAAAAUGGCAGAGGCGAGUAUUUCAUUAGAACAGCUUUCAGUUGAUAAGUUCCACUGUCCAGUCUGUCUGGAUCUACUGAAGUAUCCAAGAUCUACUCUGAGCAUAAUGAAGUGUUGGAGAUCUACUAUCGUAUUGACCAAAGCUUCAUCAGUUAUCUGUGUAUGAUGGAUGAACACAAAAGUCAUAACACCAUCUCAGUUAAAGCAUACAGAACUGAAAAACAGCUGCUGUGAGAAAAAAACCCAGCUGACACGAAAUUCCACCGAACAGGAGAUAGAAGUCAAUGUACAAAGGUGGCUUCAGCUUGCUCCUGACAGAGAUGGAGGAAGGAGAGAGCGGUUGAGGAGAAAAGAGAGGCUGGAGAAGGCAUCACAUGUUGAGAAAAAUUCUGAAUUGAAUCUCACUCUUUCUUCCUCACGCACACACAAGUGUUAAAAGUGUUACCUUGUUUAGACAUUUCAUGUACAUUUCAUUACAGGCUUUUAUUUACUAAGGCUAAUAUUACUUCAUAUAAUUUAGUUUUAACUUUGCCUGUUAGAUUAUUACUACUCAGUCCAUUUUGAAGGUUUUUUUUGUGAUUGUUGCAGCCAAAAUAGCUUGAUUUCACAAUUUUUUAAAUUUUUUAUUUCAAAAUUUGCCAUGCAAUUUGAUGAGUUUUUCUGGGCUUUUUUUGUGGAAAACUACUUGAAUUUGGUGAAAUUGCAAUUGCAAGAAAUUGUUUUGUGCUGUCUUUUGCAGUGAUGUUUGUUGGUAAAUGAGAUCUUUUAACUGUACUCAUGUGCGAUGCAGCUUUGGCUGAAGGUGAUGACGUCACAUGACACGUCUUGACCCAAAUCUGCGGAAAAUCUGCGCUUUCAGACCUCCAAGCACGAGCUACAGUGAAGGAAAAGUGGCGCAAAGCAGGUGACAUGGUUGUUGACGGACUUUGGCGGUGCCCCCAGGGCUGUCCUUGUCUUCAAAGUUGAUGCAUGGCAGGGACCAUGCAUCAAAAGCGGGAUUGAUAGCUGCGAUAAAGCACUGGUUUCUCUAAUUACUCUAAAAAAAAA